rnacentral:rRNA from 1 species
CCUACGGGAGGCAGCAGUGAGGAAUAUUGGUCAAUGGGCGGAAGCCUGAACCAGCCAAGUAGCGUGCAGGAUGACGGCCCUACGGGUUGUAAACUGCUUUUAUACGGGAAUAACGCGCCUUACGUGUAGGGCUUUGCAUGUACCGUAUGAAUAAGGACCGGCUAAUUCCGUGCCAGCAGCCGCGGUAAUACAGAAGGGCCGGGCGUUAUCCGGAUUUAUUGGGUUUAAAGGGAGCGUAGGCCGCAUGUCAAGCGUGCUGUGAAAUUUCCGGGCUCAACCCGGGCCUUGCAGCGCGAACUGGCGUGCUUGAGUCCGCGGAAAGCAGGCGGAAUUCGUCGUGUAGCGGUGAAAUGCUUAGAUAUUACGAAGAACCCCGAUUGCGAAGGCAGCUUGCUGCAGCGGAACUGACGCUGAUGCUCGAACGCGCGGGUAUCGAACAGGAUUAGAUACCCUGGUAGUC